rnacentral:rRNA from 1 species
UGGGGAAUUUUGGGCAAUGGGGGAAACCCUGACCCAGCAACGCCGCGUGAAGGAUGAAGUAUUUCGGUAUGUAAACUUCGAAAGAAUAGGAAGAAUAAAUGACGGUACUAUUUAUAAGGUCCGGCUAACUACGUGCCAGCAGCCGCGGUAAUACGUAGGGACCAAGCGUUGUUCGGAUUUACUGGGCGUAAAGGGCGCGUAGGCGGCAUGACAAGUCACUUGUGAAAUCUCUGGGCUUAACCCAGAACGGCCAAGUGAUACUGUCGCGCUAGAGUGCAGAAGGGGCAAUCGGAAUUCUUGGUGUAGCGGUGAAAUGCGUAGAUAUCAAGAGGAACACCUGAGGUGAAGACGGGUUGCUGGGCUGACACUGACGCUGAGGCGCGAAAGCCAGGGGGGCAAACGGGAUUAGAUACCCUAGUAGUCCCUGAGCGGGCUGGCAAGGCGCAU